GUGCGGGCUAUGUACUCAGGAAAGAUCAGAGGGGUUAGCCAUAAAUAAAGACCUUUGACCUCACGGGUGUGAAGAUAAUUAAAAAGCCCAGGGGGUUAGGAGGACCAUUGUGUUUUCUGAAAACAGCUAGUUUUGGUUUACGGGGUUAAGUGGAAAUUUACAGAGAAGGAGCCUUGUAAGAAGUGCGGGUGAUAACAGUAUAAUAAGGCUGUCUGUUUUCAGUGUGAUUCGGGUUUGUUGUGUUUCAGGGUAGCUGCUGUAACAGUGAACGAACCUCUUUAAGGAAAAUAAACUUCUUUCCUUAAAUAUAAUUUGAUUCCUUGUCUCUUACACUGAGAUGCUAUUUGUUAGUAAUUGUUUUUGCCACAACAAUUUGGUGUCAGAAUAGUGGGAUCUCACAGUGGUUUUGUGGAAUAUUUUUAUUAAUAAGAUUUUAAUCAAUCAAGUAUAAUCAAUGUGAAUCUAGCCAUUUUUGUUGCUAGUUGUUUUUCCAUUAUAAUCCUAUAGGUAAAGGAUAGAAAGGAAUAUGCUUACGUGCUGGAAUGUUCAGAACUGAUGAGAAACAUGUGGUCAGACAUACAGAAAGGGCCUUUCUUCAUACCAAAACAAGUAGGGGCCUCUCCUCUCUAGUGAGGAAUCAUAAUUGCAAGCAUAAGGAAAGUCUGACCAUUUGGAAACGCCCUGUAUAGGGUAUGUAAUGAGUUGCUACCUAGCAUUCGAGAGAUCUCCUUGCAAGGAACUCUCGGCUUUGUUUUGCUUAAAAUAAAGUAUUUUCUUCAGAGAGAAAAAUCCCUGACUGAGUUUGAUUCUUUGGAGAACCGGCAAAAUACACCACAGAUUCUUCUGGUCCUGAGCGGAUUUGACAAAGUGAUCAUCUCAGAGCACCAGGCUCUGGUCUUACCUCGAAAAUUGAGAGACAAGAGCCAAAACUGCUUUCAGGGCCAGAGUGACUCAGAUGAGAUCAGAAAGAACCCGGUGGCAGUAAAAGCAUCUCAGACGUUUAACAGAUUAUAGACGUGCUUCGAAGGAAAUCCAGAAGAGAUUGAAGUCAGCCAACAUAGGAUCACCAAACAGAAAGCUAGCAAAAUUUUUAAACACCAGUUUUCGGUCAAAUAGAAAAAGAAUUAUGGGCAUAAGUGUACACAGAAAAGCUGAUCAAAUAUCAUGAUUUUCCUGAAGAAGGGACAAUGAGUAAAGUAAGACUGAAUGUUGUGAGAGAGUCAGUUGAAAAAAAAAGAGAAACAGAAUGGUUGUUGUAUGUGUUCGUCACGUGUAUAGGAUGUACUCAGACUAUAGGUUGUUGGUUAGAAUAGGCUGAAAGUCGAGAACGUAAGCAAAUGCAGAAAGAAUUGGCACGUAGGGAUGAAAUGAAAAGAUGGAAGACAGUGUAUGUGAGAAAACAGAAUGCUACUCAGACUAUAGGUUGUUGGUUAGAAGAUGCUGAAAGACAAGAACGUAAGCAAAUGCAGAAAUAAUUGGCAU
rnacentral:lncRNA from 1 species